AUUGAACGCUGGCGGCAUGCCUUACACAUGCAAGUCGAACGGUAACAGGUCUUCGGAUGCUGACGAGUGGCGAACGGGUGAGUAAUGCAUCGGAACGUGCCUAGUAGUGGGGGAUAACUACUCGAAAGAGUGGCUAAUACCGCAUGAGAUCUACGGAUGAAAGCAGGGGAUCGCAAGACCUUGUGCUACUAGAGCGGCCGAUGGCGGAUUAGGUAUUUGGUGGGAUAAAAGCUUACCAAGCCGACGAUCUGUAGCUGGUCUGAGAGGACGAUCAGCCACACUGGGACUGAGACACGGCCCAGACUCCUACGGGAGGCAGCAGUGGGGAAUUUUGGACAAUGGGCGCAAGCCUGAUCCAGCAAUGCCGCGUGCAGGAUGAAGGCCUUCGGGUUGUAAACUGCUUUUGUACGGAACGAAAAGCCCUGGGUUAAUACCCUGGGGUCAUGACGGUACCGUAAGAAUAAGCACCGGCUAACUACGUGCCAGCCGCCGCAGUAACAC
rnacentral:rRNA from 1 species